rnacentral:rRNA from 1 species
GCACAAGCGGUGGAUGAUGUGGAUUAAUUCGAUGCAACGCGAAAACCUUACCUACCCUUGACAUGUCCGGAAUCCUGCAGAGAUGCGGGAGUGCCCGAAAGGGAAUCGGAACACAGGUGCUGCAUGGCUGUCGUCAGCUCGUGUCGUGAGAUGUUGGGUUAAGUCCCGCAACGAGCGCAACCCUUAUCAUUAGUUGCUACGCAAGGGCACUCUAAUGAGACUGCCGGUGACAAACCGGAGGAAGGUGGGGAUGACGUCAAGUCCUCAUGGCCCUUAUGGGUAGGGCUUCACACGUCAUACAAUGGUCGGUACAGAGGGUUGCCAAGCCGCGAGGUGGAGCCAAUCCCAGAAAGCCGAUCGUAGUCCGGAUUGUUCUCUGCAACUCGAGAGCAUGAAGUCGGAAUCGCUAGUAAUCGCGGAUCAGCAUGUCGCGGUGAAUACGUUCCCGGGUCUU